AACGAACGCUGGCGGCGUGCUUAACACAUGCAAGUCGAACGGACAGACAGAGAGCUUGCUCUCUUGAAGUUAGUGGCGAACGGGUGAGUAACGCGUAAUCGACCUGCCCUUCAGAGGGGGAUAACAACGGGAAACCGUUGCUAAUACCGCGUACGAUUCAUGAACGGCAUCGUUUAUGAAUGAAAGGUGGCCUCUAUGUAUAAGCUAUCGCUGAAGGAGGGGCUUGCGUCUGAGUAGCUAGUUGGAGGGGUAACGGCCCACCAAGGCAAUGAUCAGUAGCCGGUCUGAGAGGAUGAACGGCCACAUUGGGACUGAGACACGGCCCAAACUCCUACGGGAGGCAGCAGUGGGGAAUCUUCCGCAAUGGACGAAAGUCUGACGGAGCAACGCCGCGUGAGUGAUGAAGGUCUUCGGAUUGUAAAGCUCUGUUAAUCGGGACGAAAGAGUUCUGCGUGAAUAAUGCAGAAAAGUGACGGUACCGGAAUAGAAAGCCACGGCUAACUACGUGCCAGCCGCCGCAGUAA
rnacentral:rRNA from 1 species